GCGCCCUUAGCUCAACGGAUAGAGCACCGGCCUCCGGAGCCGGGGAUAGGGGUUCGAUUCCCUUAGGGCGUACCA
rnacentral:tRNA from 1 species